UCGAUGGGAGCUUGCUCCCUGAGAUUAGCGGCGGACGGGUGAGUAACACGUGGGCAACCUGCCUAUAAGACUGGGAUAACUUCGGGAAACCGGAGCUAAUACCGGAUACGUUCUUUUCUCGCAUGAGAGAAGAUGGAAAGACGGUUCUGCUGUCACUUAUAGAUGGGCCCGCGGCGCAUUAGCUAGUUGGUGAGGUAAUGGCUCACCAAGGCGACGAUGCGUAGCCGACCUGAGAGGGUGAUCGGCCACACUGGGACUGAGACACGGCCCAGACUCCUACGGGAGGCAGCAGUAGGGAAUCUUCCGCAAUGGACGAAAGUCUGACGGAGCAACGCCGCGUGAACGAAGAAGGCCUUCGGGUCGUAAAGUUCUGUUGUUAGGGAAGAACAAGUACCAGAGUAACUGCUGGUACCUUGACGGUACCUAACCAGAAAGCCACGGCUAACUACGUGCCAGCAGCCGCGGUAAUACGUAGGUGGCAAGCGUUGUCCGGAAUUAUUGGGCGUAAAGCGCGCGCAGGUGGUUCCUUAAGUCUGAUGUGAAAGCCCACGGCUCAACCGUGGAGGGUCAUUGGAAACUGGGGAACUUGAGUGCAGAAGAGGAAAGUGGAAUUCCAAGUGUAGCGGUGAAAUGCGUAGAGAUUUGGAGGAACACCAGUGGC
rnacentral:rRNA from 1 species